rnacentral:rRNA from 1 species
CUGGCUCAGGAUGAACGCUGGCGGCGUGCUUAACACAUGCAAGUCGAACGGAGCCAAAAGGAAGCUUGCUUCUUGAAGCUUAGUGGCGGACGGGUGAGUAACGCGUGAGCAACCUGCCCUUCAGUGGGGAAUAACACAGAGAAAUCUGUGCUAAUACCGCAUAACGUCUUCUUGCCGCAUGACAGGAAGACCAAAGGAUUUAUUCGCUGAAGGAUGGGCUCGCGUCCGAUUAGGCAGUUGGUGAGGUAACGGCUCACCAAACCUACGAUCGGUAGCCGAACUGAGAGGUUGAUCGGCCACAUUGGGACUGAGACACGGCCCAGACUCCUACGGGAGGCAGCAGUGGGGAAUAUUGGGCAAUGGGGCGAAAGCCUGACCCAGCAACGCCGCGUGAAGGAAGACGGUCUUCGGAUUGUAAACUUCUUUGAUUGGGGAAGAACAAAAUGACCUACCCAAAGAACAAGUCACGGCUAACUACGUGCCAGCCGCGGC